rnacentral:misc_RNA from 1 species
UCGUACAACGUGUGUGAGGCGUGUGAGGGCUGUCGCUGACUUUUUGACACAAAAGUUGUGCACGCCGGAGCACGUCCUCUCUCUCACAUAAAAUCCAUCUCACCCUUUUGUGCACCACCGCGCGGGCACCCUUUGGGAUGCUUGCGUUUUCACACAAACCCCUUUUAAAAAAGUGUAGAAUGACCCCACUUUGCGAUGACACGCAAUCAAUA